rnacentral:rRNA from 1 species
GACGAACGCUGGCGGCGUGCUUAACACAUGCAAGUCGAACGGAAAGGCCCUGCUUUUGUGGGGUGCUCGAGUGGCGAACGGGUGAGUAACACGUGAGUAACCUGCCCUUGACUUUGGGGUAACUUCAGGAAACUGGGGCUAAUCUCGUAUAGGAGCUCCUGCUGCAUUGUGGGGGUUGGAAAGUUUCUGCGGUUGGGGAUGGACUCGCGGCUUAUCAGCUUGUUAGUUGGGUAGUGGCUUACCAAGGCUUUGACGGGUAGCCGGCCUGAGAGGGUGACCGGCCACAUUGGGACUGAGAUACGGCCCAGACUCCUACGGGAGGCAGCAGUGGGGAAUAUUGCACAAUGGGCGGAAGCCUGAUGCAGCAACGCCGCGUGCGGGAUGACGGCCUUCGGGUUGUAAACCGCUUUCGCCUGUGACGAAGCGUGAGUGACGGUAACGGGUAAAGAAGCACCGGCUAACUACGUG